rnacentral:rRNA from 1 species
AUACGGAGGGUGCGAGCGUUAAUCGGAAUUACUGGGCGUGAAGGGCGCGUAGGUGGAUAAGUAUGUUGGAUGUGAAAGCCCCGGGCUCAACCUGGGAAGGCCAUUCAAAACUGCUUGUCUAGAGUUUAGUAGAGGGAAGUGGAAUUUCCGGUGUAGCGGUGAAAUGCGUAGAUAUCGGAAGGAACAUCAGUGGCGAAGGCGGCUUCCUGGACUAAUACUGACACUGAGGCGCGAAAGCGUGGGGAGCAAACAGGAUUAGAAACCCCGGUAGUCC